rnacentral:rRNA from 1 species
UUUAGAGGAACCUGCCCUAUAAACGAUGAACCACGAAUAACAUUACUUUUAUUAGAUUAUCAGUUUGUAUACCGCUGUUGUCAGUUGGUUUCUUUAGAAAUCCUUCUUAAAUGAUAAUUUCAUGGACUUCAAGUAAAGGUGCAGCUCAUAUAAAAGAUAGAGGUGGGUUACAUUUAAAAGAAUAAUAACGGAUUAGAUUUUUGAAACAAUCUUUGAAGGUGGAUUUAAUUGUAAAGUUUAAUAAAACUUGAUGUGAGC